rnacentral:rRNA from 1 species
UAGACACUAAAGCAGACCAUGUUAAUCACCCCUAAAUAAAGGACCAAACAAUAUUGAACCCUGCCCUAAUGUCUUCGGUUGGGGCGACCACGGAGAAAUAAAAAACCCCCGCGUGGAACAGGGAUACUAUCCCCACAAUUAAGAGCCUCCGCUCUAUCAAACAGAACCUCUGACCAAUCAGAUCCGGCAAUGCCGACCAACGGACCAAGUUACCCUAGGGAUAACAGCGCAAUCCCCUUUUAGAGCCCAUAUCGACAAGGGGGUUUACGACCUCGAUGUUGGAUCAGGACAUCCUAAUGGUGCAGCCGCUAUUAAG